rnacentral:rRNA from 1 species
GAUGAACGCUAGCUACAGGCUUAACACAUGCAAGUCGAGGGGCAGCAUGAACAUAGCUUGCUAUGUUUGAUGGCGACCGGCGCACGGGUGCGUAACACGUAUCCAAUCUACCCAUGGCUCGGGGAUAGCCUUUCGAAAGAAAGAUUAAUACCCGAUGGUCUCGGUUUAAGGCAUCUUAGACUGAGUAAAGAUUUAUCGGCGAUGGAUGAGGAUGCGUCUGAUUAGGUAGAUGGCGGGGUAACGGCCCGCCAUGCCUACGAUCAGUAGGGGUUCAGAGAGGAAGGUCCCCCACAUGGGAAGGGAGACACGGUCCAAACUCCGACGGGAGGCAGCAGGGAGGAAGAUGGGUCAAUGGACGAGAGUCUGAACCAGCCAAGUAGCGUGAAGGAUGACUGCCCUAUGGGUUGUAAACUUCUUUUGUUUGGGAAUAAAGUUCGGGACGUGUCCCGUUUUGUAUGUACCAUUCGAAUAAGCAUCGGCUAAUUCCGUGCCAGCAGCCGCCGUAACAC